UUAUAAUAUCCAUUAACCCAAUAAUCAAGUGGUCGGACACAUCGACUAUAUAUAUUUGGGUGAAAACAGUCUAAAAUCAUUCGCUUAUUGAAGUUUCUCAGUGGAGUUUCAAAUUCUUUACCGUAAAGAAAUUACAAAUUGAGCAAAAAUGAAUUAUCGUCUCGGAUUUUGUCUGAUGCUGGUUCUCUUUGUGACUGCUUUCAGUGUUGAGGGUAGAAAACAAGGUGCCAACCGUAUGUACCAAAAAGAUUGUGCCUAUCCCAACGGGUGUGUUCCUUAUUCAACAGUAUGUGAAGGACAAAAUGAGAAAUGUUCGCCAGGUUAUAGGUGCUGCAGAGUUGCCAAUCUUUGAUAGUCUCAACAGUUAGUAGUAGACUCAAAAGAUAAAAAAAGGAAAAAUAAAAAUAGAAGGAAAAAUG